AUGGAGGCUCCCGCCCUGUCCUUCACGGAGGAGGACUUGACUGAAGUGAAGAAGGACGCUUUAGAGAAUUUACGUGUUUACCUGUGUGAGAAAAUCAUAGCUGAGAGAAAGUUUGAUCAUCUACGUGCAAAAAAAAAAAAAAAAAAAAAAAAAACUAAGUAGAGAAGACACGGAAGAAAUGUCUUUCCGAACUUCAAGUAGCAAACGGGCUGGGAAGUUGUUAGACUACUUACAGGAGAACCCCAGGGGCCUGGACACCCUUGUGGAAUCCAUCCGCAGGGAGAAAACACAGAACUUCCUGAUUCAGAAGAUAACGGACGAGGUGCUCAAGCUUCGGAACAUAAAACUGGAGCACCUCAAAGGCCUGAAGUGCAGCAGCUGUGAACCCUUUGCAGCUGGAGCCACCAACAACCUCUCUAGGUGCAAUUCAGAUGAGAGCAAUCUCUUUGAGAAACAGAGAGCAUCCACUGUCAUGUACCACCCAGAGGGAGAGUCCAGCACUGCCCCCUUCUUCUCUACGGAGUCGUCCCUGAACUUGCCAGUCCUGGAAGUUGGCAGAACUGAAAACAGCAGCUUCUCUUCAGCCACUCUUCCUCGACCUGGGGACCCUGGGGCACGCCCUUUACCCCCAGACCUUCGGUUGGAAGAGGGGGGAAGUUGUGGAAACUCAAGUGAGAUGUUUCUCCCCUUGCGGUCACGGGCUCUUUCACGCCAAUGAUACAUCACCACCU